rnacentral:rRNA from 1 species
AGAGUUUGAUCAUGGCUCAGAUUGAACGCUGCGGCAUGCCUUACACAUGCAAGUCGAACGGUAACGGGCCUUCGGUGCCGACGAGUGGCGAACGGGUGAGUAAUGCAUCGGAACGUACCUUCAGUGGGGAUAACGUAGCGAAAGUUACGCUAAUACCGCAUAUUCUGUGAGCAGGAAAGCAGGGGAUCGCAAGACCUUGCGCUGAUUGAGCGGCCGAUGUCAGAUUAGCUAGUUGGUGAGGUAAAGGCUCACCAAGGCGACGAUCUGUAGCGGGGUCUGAGAGGAUGAUCCGCCACACUGGAACUGAGACACGGUCCAGACUCCUACGGGAGGCAGCAGUGGGGAAUUUUGGACAAUGGGGGCAACCCUGAUCCAGCCAUGCCGCGUGAGUGAAGAAGGCCUUCGGGUUGUAAAGCUCUUUCGGCCGGGAAGAAAUCGCAUGGGUUAAUACCCUGUGCGGAUGACGGUACCGGCAUAAGAAGCACCGGCUAACUACGUG